rnacentral:rRNA from 1 species
UACGUAGGAUGCAAGCGUUGUCCGGAAUUAUUGGGCGUAAAGGGCGUGUAGGCGGCCAACUAAGUCCGACGUGAAAUCCCCAGGCUUAACCUGGGAACUGCGUCGGAUACUGGAUGGCUUGAAUCCGGGAGAGGGAUGCAGAAUUCCAGGUGUAGCGGUGAAAUGCGUAGAUAUCUGGAGGAAUACCGGUGGCGAAGGCGGCAUCCUGGACCGGCAUUGACGCUGAAGCGCGAAAGCGUGGGGAGCGAACAGG